rnacentral:rRNA from 1 species
GACGAACGCUGGCGGCGUGCCUAAUACAUGCAAGUCGAGCGGACAGAAGGGAGCUUGCUCCCGGAAGUCAGCGGCGGACGGGUGAGUAACACGUGGGCAACCUACCCUGUAGAUCGGGAUAACAUCGAGAAAUCGGUGCUAAUACCGGAUAAUCAUUUGAAGUGCAUGCUUCGAAUGUAAAAGAUGGCUCCGGCUAUCACUACGGGAUGGGCCCGCGGCGCAUUAGCUAGUUGGUAAGGUAAUGGCUUACCAAGGCAACGAUGCGUAGCCGACCUGAGAGGGUGAUCGGCCACACUGGGACUGAGACACGGCCCAGACUCCUACGGGAGGCAGCAGUAGGGAAUCUUCCGCAAUGGACGAAAGUCUGACGGAGCAACGCCGCGUGAGUGAUGAAGGUUCUCGGAUCGUAAAGCUCUGUUGUUAGGGAAGAACAAGUGCCGUUUGAAUAAGGCGGCACCUUGACGGUACCUAACCAGAAAGCCACGGCUAACUACGUGCCAGCAGCCGCGGUAACAC